UACAAGCUGCGUUGUACGUAUGGAUUUUAAGUUUUAACCUUUAAGCUGUAAAAGGGAGUUUUAUCUAGAAAUUGGAAUGGCAUGCCUAACAUUUAGAUUAGGACAAACAGGAAUAUUUCUGCGAACACCCACUUUGAGGAGUGGUGGUUUAAAACUUUCUAAACAAUAUACGGCAAAGGCGGCUUUCUU
rnacentral:other from 1 species